rnacentral:rRNA from 1 species
UGGGGAAUCUUAGACAAUGGGGGAAACCCUGAUCUAGCCAUGCCGCGUGUGUGACGAAGGCCCUAGGGUCGUAAAGCACUUUCACCGGGGAAGAUAAUGACGGUACCCGGAGAAGAAACCCCGGCUAACUCCGUGCCAGCAGCCGCGGUAAUACGGAGGGGGUUAGCGUUGUUCGGAAUUACUGGGCGUAAAGCGCGCGUAGGCGGGCUGUUAAGUCGGGGGUGAAAUCCCGGGGCUCAACCCCGGAACUGCCUUCGAUACUGGCAGCCUAGAGUUCGAGAGAGGUGAGUGGAACUCCGAGUGUAGAGGUGAAAUUCGUAGAUAUUCGGAAGAACACCAGUGGCGAAGGCGGCUCACUGGCUCGAUACUGACGCUGAGGUGCGAAAGCGUGGGGAGCAAACA